AAUAGCGGAGUACUUUGCGCGCUAAUCAGUGGCCAGGACUGGUAAAUUAAGAAACAGUCAGGUACCUGAAGUAGCGCGCGAAGAGCUUUAGCU
rnacentral:pre_miRNA from 12 species